rnacentral:piRNA from 1 species
UACUAUUGAUAAGUGAGGUGUAC